rnacentral:rRNA from 1 species
UACGGAGGGUGCAAGCGUUAAUCGGAAUUACUGGGCGUAAAGCGCACGCAGGUGGCUGAGUCAGUCGAUUGUGAAAGCCCUGGGCUUAACCUGGGAAUUGCAGUCGAUACUACUCAGCUAGAGUAUGGGAGAGGGUAGUGGAAUUCCCGGUGUAGCGGUGAAAUGCGUAGAGAUCGGGAGGAACAUCUGUGGCGAAGGCGGCCACCUGGACCAGCACUGACACUGAGGCACGAAAGCGUGGGGAGCAAACAGG